rnacentral:rRNA from 1 species
AGAGUUUGAUCCUGGCUCAGAACGAACGCUGGCGGUAUGCUUAAUACAUGCAAGUCAAACGAGAAAGCCCCUUCGGGGGUGAGUAGAGUGGCGCACGGGUGAGUAACACGUAGGUGACCUACCUUUCUGGCGGGGGACAACCCGAAGAAAUUCGGGCUAAUACCCCAUAUCCUGUAUGAAGGUGAAACUAUUACAGUAAAGAUUGCCUCUGUUUCAUGCAAUCACCAGACGAUGGGCCUGCGCAGCAUUAGUUUGUUGGUGGGGUAACGGCCUACCAAGGCGACGAUGCUUAGCCGGUUUGAGAGAAUGAUCGGCCACACUGGAACUGAGACACGGUCCAGACUCCUACGGGAGGCAGCAGUAGGGAAUAUUGCGCAAUGGACGCAAGUCUGACGCAGCAAUACCGCGUGAGUGAGGAAGGUUUUCGGAUUGUAAAACUCUGUCAGAGUGGAAAAACGGCUUGGGGUCCAAUAGGCCUCAAGAUUGAUGGUACACUCAGAGGAAGCACCGGCUAACUUCGUGCCAGCAGCCGCGGUAAUACGAAGGGUGCUAGCGUUGUUCGGAUUUAUUGGGCGUAAAGCGCGCGUAGGCGGAUGGAUUAGUCUGGUGUGAAAUCUCGGGGCCCAACCCCGAAACUGCGCCUGAAACUGUUCAUCUAGAAUAUCGGAGAGGGAAGGGGAAUUUCGCAUGUAGGGGUAAAAUCCGUAGAGAUGCGAAGGAACACCGGAGGCGAAGGCGCCUUCCUGGACGAUUAUUGACGCUGAGGUGCGAAAGCGUGGGUAGCAAACAGGAUUAGAUACCCUGGUAGUCCACGCUGUAAACGAUGAGCACUAGAAAUUGCGGGUAUUGACCCCUGCAGUUUCGCAGCUAACGCAUUAAGUGCUCCGCCUGGGGAGUACGAUCACAAGAUUAAAACUCAAAGGAAUUGACGGGGGCCCGCACAAGCGGUGGAUUAUGUGGUUUAAUUCGAAGCAACGCGAAGAACCUUACCUGGGCUUGAAUUCCUGCGAACCCGCUCGAGAAAGCGGGGUGUCCUUUUUGGAAAUGCAGUGAUAGGUGCUGCACGGCUGUCGUCAGCUCGUGUCGUGAGAUGUUGGGUUAAGUCUCGCAACGAGCGCAACCCUCGUCCUUAGUUGCCAGCAUUAAGUUGGGCACUCUAGGGAGACUGCCUGGGCCAACCAGGAGGAAGGUGAGGAUGACGUCAAGUCCUCAUGGCCCUUAUGUCCAGGGCUACACACGUAAAACAAUGGCACAUACAGAGGGACGCGAACUCGCGAGGGGGGGCAAAUCUCAAAAAGUGUGUCUCAGCCCGGAUUGGAGUCUGCAACUCGACUCCAUGAAGCUGGAAUCGCUAGUAAUCGCGGAUCAGCACGCCGCGGUGAAUACGUUCUCGGGCCUUGUACACACCGCCCGUCACACCAUGGGAGUUGGCCUUACCUGAAGUCGUGGCCCCAACCACUUUUGUGGAGGGGAGCGCCUACGGUCGGGCCGAUGACUGGGGUGAAGUCGUAACAAGGUA